rnacentral:lncRNA from 1 species
UCAAAAGUGACACUCUUAACCAAAAAGAACAAGAGAUGGACGACACUAUAUUGGUAGCAAAUCAGGCAACUACCCCAAAGAAAAAUGUAGGAAGUCUAUAAAACAGAAGCAUGAUUCAUUUAAAAAGCAUUAUCACCAUAUACUAUAUUUAUAUAUCACACAACAAAAGUCUUCUGAUUUCGUUAGUAUAGCUACAACAACUUGCUGCAGCCGUCUUUAUAUGACACAGCUAAUUUGGCAUUUCUUGUAGGGUAUAUGGCAAGCGGAGCAGGUAUUCGCGCCGUACUGCAUAAGGCCCAUUAAAUGGAGAAGCCUCCCUGCUAGAGUUUUAUCCAUAUCCAGGGGUGGAUUUAGGAUUUCUUGAACAUGGGUGCACACUAAAAAAGUAGAAAAAAAGAAUUAAGUGGGAAUCAAUCCAUGUUACUCCAAUGAAUAACCCAAUAUACAACCAAGUGCAGCAUUUAAUCUUUUUGAAGCAUGGGUACCAACAUAUAAUAUUAGAUAAAUUCUAGAAAAUACGUGCAUAAAAUACCUAGUUUGGCGGAAAGACUAUGGGUUCACGUGCCCCAUGAUUUGGUCUAUACACAGGGGCGGAUCCAUAGUAUCGAGUGUGGGUUCUCGGGAACCCAGUAACUUUUACCCGAGCCUUGUAUUUGUAUUGAUAAAUUUAUUAAAUGUAUAAGUAUUUUUAGUUUGGAACCCAUAAGCAAAAUCUGUGUUGGUCCAGUGGCAAACUAAGCAACCAGCUUAAGCUAUGUUCCUGAAUAUUUGGCUGAGGUUCGAAUCUCUUUGAACACUUCUUAAUGUCACUUUUGUUUUUUUUCCACCAAACAGCACACAUAGGCACCUUUUGUUUCUCUUUUUCUUUUAAAAACUGACUAGCCGAACAUUAAAAAACUGCGAACCCGAGUCCUCUAACCAAGGGUGGAGAAAUUUUAUUUAUCCCACUACAACCUCAAUUGUAUCAUUGGUAUUUUAUAUCACAGAGGACACAGUUGCAAGACUAACAGUGCCGGCAUGAUUUAGGUUAUAAAUUCAGAGAUCUUUUAAAAAAAAAUUGAUGUCAAAGCCACCCAGCCCCAUCCACGCGCUGUUAAACUUGUUAAAGAUUUUGUGAUUUCCCAUUGCCAUUCCUAAUUUCUCGCACUAAACAGAAGGGGCGAGUAAGCCAGGAAAUAAGCUUUUACUAUUUCUGAAGAGUAGAUAAAAUAGAUCUAAAUUGAUCAAUAUCUAGCAUCAUUUCUUUGCCUCAUCCAUUCUUGUUUUAGCUCAAGAAGGAAGAAGAAAAACCUGGCAGCUGUAGCUAUGGGCAGAAGUUGCAAUCUUCUCUUUGCUCUUCCAGUUUGUAUUCUACUUCAUCACCAUACUUCGCUGGCUACAAUUACAUUUCCCAAUAUUAGCACUGAUGAAGCUGAUCUUCUUGCCUUGAAAUCUCACAUUUCUUCUUCUGAUCCUAACAAUAUCUUAGCAACCAAUUGGUCUCUUCUAGCCCAGUUUGCAGCUGGAUUGGAAUUACUUGCAGCUCUCGCCCCUGUAGAGUCGCAGCUUUAGACAUUUAUAGCAUGCAACUUUACGGUACCAUUCCUCCACACCUUGGAAAUCUCUUAUUUCUUGUUUCACUCGACCAAAAUUGUCCACAAAACCGACCGAAGUCGGUCGGAAAUAUAGGAAAACCGAUCGAUUUCCGACCGAUUUUAAUUCGUCGUAACAAUAGUCGUCACUAAGGUGUUGCGAUCGAAGACGAUCGCAAUUUUCCGACCGAAGUCAGUCGUUAAUUCAACCUUUGGUUGGCCACUUU